rnacentral:rRNA from 1 species
UACGUAGGGGGCAAGCGUUGUCCGGAUUUAUUGGGCGUAAAGCGCGUGUAGGCGGCUUGGUAGGUCAGCUGUGAAAACUCGAGGCUCAACCUCGAGCUGUCGGUUGAAACCACCUUGCUAGGGUCCGGAAGAGGAGAGUGGAAUUCCUGGUGUAGCGGUGAAAUGCGCAGAUAUCAGGAAGAACACCAAUGGCGAAGGCAGCUCUCUGGGACGGUACUGACGCUGAGACGCGAAAGCGUGGGGAGCGAACAGG